AGUCAUAUCGUGUUUCUAGAACCCUGUUAGAAUCUCUUUUUGGAUUUCUUCGGACUGGAUUUUGACAAUUCUUUGCUUUGUGGAAUUAAUUUGGUAUAUCGGACUGAGGAGAAAAAACCUCCCUUAGUGAGUAAAAUCUCUUGGUAGGCAGUUCAUGGUUCGCUGCCAAGACUGUUAUCUUAAAGGAAUUCCUGAGUGUUUGAUUCAUUAACACCUGGCUGUCUGUUUGUGUGUGUGCAUGAGAUGGAGACAGAACAACUGAAAUAGGUUCACUUGAAUUUGCAUCGUUGAUGUCUACGGUUCCUGAUGCUGUUUUAUAAAUAAUACAAAAGUUCUAUAAAUACCUCCUUCCUUAUUUUAAAAAAAUCAGCAACAUAAGGAGGCAACGUAUCACCUUUUGUCUCAAAGGAACAAGUGUACUAAGCCAGCUGCGCCACACCACUAAGCUCAUCCUGCUUCCUUUGUGCCAAACUCAUGGCAGUUUUCAAAAUCAUCUGCAGCUGUCAAUCAAACCUCAAAGACAUGAGCAUUGCACUUGAUAACCUUGCUUUUAGAACUCUUCAGCUUUGCAGCCUUAACAUUUGGAUAGAAUUAUUUUAAUGCAGUCAUAACUGCUCAGUCACUUAGGUGAGAUAGGAGGGAUAUAAAUUUGACUUAUAUUUAUAUAAAUAAAUCUGCAAUAUAGGUAUUAUAUAGUAAAU